AGCCUCCUCAAAUGCCCUGCUACAAAUGCAUGACUGCAGUCCAUUGGGCAGCCCUCUGUCCCUCAGGCCAAAGGGCCCCCAGGCCUAAGGCUGCAAAUGCCUUGUAGAUGGUAACUCAGGACUGAAGCUGCCCACCCCAGUCUGCCCCACUUCAAAAGGUCACCAUUACUAGACUGGAGCCUAGGGUAUGCAUGGAUGUGACAGGCUAUAAAGCUACAAAUGAUCAUCAUGAACAACUUGAUCUCCGGGACCCCAAGCUCCAGACACCUAUUAUGGGCUGCUGGAUGGACACUUCCCUCCUCCUCCUUGAUCAAUAGUUAGCAAGCAAAUGGAACCCAAAGAAGUCUCAACGUCCCUUUACAGCAGGAAGCAGACAGAGUGGUCAUCGCCCCAAAGUCCUCAAAGAUUUGGGUUCCUAAUGCUUGAGGGGAGAAUUGUUACGUAGAAUUUAGAAAAUGUAGGAGAAGGAAGAGGGGUGAAAGGGGUUCCAUAGUGCCUAUAGAAAAAGCUCAUAAAUAGCUUUGAU